ACCACCAUUACCAUCCAGCAGCAAGCCAUCCUGGUCCUGCGUUGAAUCUUCAUCGUCGCUCUGGAAAAACAUAAUCAGGAAUUUCACUGAUAGCUAAGAUAUGUUAUUUUGGACAAUGAGUAGGCCUCAAGUGAGAUGGAAUGAAGACAACUUGUAUGAAAUUGAAGCCAAUAAACCAGUGAGGCAGAAAAUAACUGAACCUAAAACACCUUAUCAUCCUAUGGUUGAGGAUGAUGGUAAGUCCGCAAAUGUUGAUUUAU